rnacentral:rRNA from 1 species
UACGUAGGGGGCCAGCGUUGCUCGGAAUUACUGGGCGUAAAGGGUUCGUAGGUGGUGCGGCAAGUUGGAAGUGAAAUCUCUGGGCUUAACUCAGAGGCUGCUUUCAAAACUGCCGUGCUCGAGUGCGGGAGAGGCCAGUGGAAUUGCAGGUGUAGCGGUGAAAUGCGUAGAUAUCUGCAGGAACACCCGUGGCGAAGGCGGCUGGCUGGACCGCAACUGACACUGAGGAACGAAAGCUAGGGGAGCAAACAGG